rnacentral:snRNA from 1 species
AUGCAGUGUACACAUGGA